rnacentral:rRNA from 1 species
UACGGAGGGGGCGAGCGUUAUUCGGAAUUAUUGGGCGUAAAGGGCGCGUAGGCGGCCUGGCAAGUCAAAGGUGAAAUCCCUCGGCUCAACUGAGGAACUGCCUUUGAAACUGCCAGGCUUGAGGCCGGGAGGGGGUAGCGGAAUUCCCAGUGUAGCGGUGAAAUGCGUAGAUAUUGGGAGGAACACCAGUGGCGAAGGCGGCUACCUGGACCGGUUCUGACGCUGAUGCGCGAAAGCGUGGGUAGCAAGCAGG